rnacentral:lncRNA from 1 species
UCGUUUUUUUCUCUAUAAAGUCAUGUGUACUAGAUAUUCAAUUGUGCGUGUGGAAAAACGAGGGAGCAAACAUGCGAUUUCUGAUUUUUUCAGAAAACCGGCUCGGAAGCAGACGUUUCCCUAAUCGAACCGAACGCGUCUCAACGUUCGUCGUGGUUUGGAUUAUAUACGAAAAACGUAUAGUAAUCCUCAUGACUACAUUUAAUUCGUGAACUUGAGUAACUAUACUUGCUUCCUUUUAUAUACUUGCUUUCCGUCAUUUCUAUGGUUUAGGUUUUCGUUUUCAAUCUCCAAAUGUGACUCUGCCAUUUCUAGGGUUUAGGUUUUCGUUUUCCGUCUCCAAAUGUGACCCUGUGGUGCGGUGCAGGCGUGCUCCUUGUUUCAUUUUCCCCUCUCUCUCUCACAGGAGUGGUCAUAAGUUCUUGUUUCGAUCUCUCUCUCUGUUUUUUUUUAUUGUGUUCAUCACAUCAUAGAGAUGCCGUGAGGAGGAAGCAUCAGGUUCUUGAGUGUAGGGUUUCUUUCCGUUACACAAAAAGAUGAGAGAUAUUUACUUAAUGGUUCGUAUUCUCUGAGCAUCUUCUCUGAUUCUCUUAGUAAUAGAACAUAGCUUGGGGUCUGUAACGGCAUUGGAACUACUAAAGUUUUGACCCUUUUCCAGCCCCUUUCCGAUGAUUAAUCCAUACUUUGUUUUAAUUAAUGACUAAUUAGUAGUUUACUGUCUUUCUAUUUUUUGAGGGAUUCUGAUAAUUAUAACCGAUUUAUUUUAUUUGUAUAUUUAAGGUUUUGUUCCACUUGUGAAAUGACAAUUUUGUGUUAUUGUCAUCAUUGUUGAUAACUUGAUAUUUUUACAUAUUUAAGGUUUUGAUGUGUAUUAAAACAAACCAUGAGAAAUUUUAGCUCAAAUUCAUGCUCACUAGUGUAAGAUAUUGAUGUUCUUCUGCAGUGAUGAGAUGGAUAUUUGUUUCUUUUGAAUUUGAUUUAUGAAGAAUUAGUUUGUUGAAUGUUUUUUCGAUUUUAUCUCAAAACUAGAAGAUUCUACUCAUUGCUUUCUGAGAAAAUUUCUCAUGAAGGACCUAUGGAGGAAGUGACCCCGUGAUCUUUCGACAAGUUUGCCUUCAGAAAUUGAAGAAACAGAAAUGUUAUGUUCUGGGAAGUGAGAUUUCUGGCCUGGAAUUGAUUCCAGGCUGCAUGUCUCAAGGUUCUAACAAUAAACAUAAUUCAAUUCGUGUUUCCCCCGAGUUUUGUCAUCUAAUUUUAUUUUAGUUUUCUCCACAAGUGUUUGUCUGAAAAUUUAUUAAUUUUGAAGUUUCAAAAUUUGAUGGGUUUUGACGCGAAGGCCCCAGCAGAGAGGCAGACUGUUGAAUGAGUGAGGUCUCUCUAACCUCAUGACCUUCGCAUAUUGAAUUGUGAUGGGCCAUUUUCGUUAGAUGCAUGGAAACCUGUCACUGCAUCUGUAGUCAUGGCUUACACCUUAUAUAAUGGUGCCCCACCAUUCUGGUCUUCUGCAUCCUCCUUUUUUUUUUGUUUAUAUUAUCUUUUUUUUUCUUUCAGAUUUCUUGAGCUUCUUAUCGGUCUUUACAUCUUUUUUUUUCAAAUCAUUUUUGAAUCAGGUAACAUUUUUAAUAGUUUUGAAACCAUUUAUCUUUAGUACAAAGAUCUCGCCUUUCUUAGGUGUCGAAUUCGAUGGCUUUGGGUGUCUUAAAGUCCGAGAAAAUUUCUUUUAAAUUUUGAGUCUAGUUAAUGAUGCACCUACCUGAUUUAGAAUUUGACUGACAAUAGUGAUUGUGAUAUCUUUGUAUUAUAAAUAAUUUGUACUAUAAAUAAAUGGUCUUUUACUGUAAUAUAUAUCCAUGCAUUUUAUUCAAAAUUCUUUGUUUUUUUUUGAAAGAUGUAUAAUGCCUUUGACAUGCAGUCAGAUGUGCAGCUACAUCAACCUUAGAGAGUCAUGGUUGAUGGAGUGUAUAUUGUACAUUCAUAUGAAAUGGUCCUUACAAAGAUGACCCUAUUUAGGGGUUAUUUUGAUGAUCUUGCCCUACGUUUCUUUCACUUCUUUAAAAGCCUGGUUCCAUGUUAUUAUUUGUCCUAUUUAUCGUCUACCGGUAUGAUUACAAGUGAGGCGGCAGCUGGACAACUAUUUUUCCCAAAAUAUAGAAGUGAAUUUGGCCAUAAAAAUAAAAUAAAAAUAAAUAAGUGAAGAUAUUGGUCAAAUAUUAAAGUUAAGAAUGGGUGAUUUGGCCAAAUUUUAGGAAAAUUUUAAAAUAUAGAGAAAAUAGAGAACUACGGAGGAUUUUAAUGAAUGUCAAGAUUUUUGAGAUAUAACUGGGGUUUAUAUUAAGUGGGUAGAGUGAAUUGACGACAAAUCAUAAAAGAGUUUGAAAUUUUAACAAAAACUUGGUUAAGAAUUCCAGUAGAGUUGGCUAGUCGUACCAGUCCCACCGGUUUUGACCGAUUUUAUGAUAUUUUUUAUUGUUGAUUUAUGUAGACUAACUCGAAAUCCUAAUUUAUCUUUCUAGCCUCUUAAUUUAAUUUACCAAGGUCUUGGAAGGUGUUAAUUUUUUUAAAAUCACCGGCUGAUAUUGAGUUUGUCUAAUUCUAUAGGUUAUGUAUUGAUUGCCUAAUUCUAUAGGUUAUGUAUUGGCCAAUUUGUAUCUUGUGCAUUACAAAUCGGUAUUAAUCGGUUGCUAUGUAUAUUAAUUGGUGAUUUAUUAUAAAGAUUUGCAGAUUUAUGCACUAUUAUAGUGCAAGUUUUUUUUUGUAGGUCUCUACUAUUUUUUUUUUAAGCCUCUUUAUCUUUUUUUCAAUGUUUUGGAUUGUAUUAUUGAUCUGUUUUUUUUCUUCUCUACCUCUCUCUCUCUAGUUCUAUUUGGGUUGGAAACAAGGGCCCUACCUCUCCCUGUCUCUCUCUCGUUGGGGUUGCGCACCCCAACCUCCCUAUCCGUUAGGUUAGGGGCAUGCUCUAACCUGAACCUCUCUCUCUCUCAUGCGCUAAUGUCUCUCUGUCUCUCUCUCUCUCGCAUGCCCUAAUGUCUCUCUCUCUCGCUUGGGGCAAGGACCUAGUAUAAAAAAUUAAUUUCAUGUAUGUAUAUUAAUAUUGAAGAAGUGUGAUAUGAAUUUAAGUCUCCUAAAAAGAUUAUUGCUUUAAUUAUUAAGAAGUGUGAUAUGAAUUUAAGUCUCCUCAAUAAAAGCUUUAAUUAUUAGUUCAUUGAAAAAAGUAUUGAUUCAGGUGUCUAAAAUUUUUAUCUAAAACUCAAGUAUGCUUAUAAUAUCUUUUUACUUUGCUUAAUUUAUGUGACAAUAUGAAAGAAUAAUACAUGUAAAUUUUAAACCCUUUUUUUUCUUGAACUUUUUUGGGACUUCUUACCUCCAUUUCAUUUUGAACUCGACACUAAUCGGCUGAUUAAGUUGGAGUCGGUCUAACUAAUCAAGGUGGGCCAUAACCGACUAAUUGGCUGGACGUGUUUUUUUUAUAACACUGGUUUAUUUCUUAGCCCAUGUAUUGCUGUCUUUGGAGAGCACAUCAUGCAUUUACUCUUGUGGGCAUUAUUUGGGAGAUUUUUAUUUUUUUGAAAUUUCAGGAUGUCUAAAUAUAACUUGAUUAUUUUUUCAAAACCAAAAAAAAGAAAAAGAUUUUGAGUUAUUAAACAUCUAGAUCACUCCUAAGUCAAUCUUGGGAUGCUCUCAUAGAGUACAUGGAUAUUGUACUCAUUCUUUAGUAGUAAAUCUUUUUGGCAUAAUUUGUAUAGGGAAAAGUAUCUAGAUCACUCCUUCUAAGUUAAUAUUGGGAUGCCGUCAUGGAGUACAUGGAUAUUGUGCUCAUUCUUGAGUAGUAAAUCUUUUGGCAUAAUUUGUAUAUGGAAAAUCAUGGUUAUAAGAAAGUCAACGUUAUUUUCCAUUAGAUAUGCAGGCGCAUAAUUUGUAUAUGGAAAAGUAUUGGUAUAAUGUCACAAGCUUUCUUGUUCAUUAGAUGUUGAGUCGGGUUGUUGACUAAAAAUUAAAAUUUAAAAAAGUUCGGGUGUCUAUAAGAGUGUUAUUGAAUAGACUAACAGUUCUAAAAAUGUUGUUGAAGUUCAUGACAUACCUCAAGUUAUCUAAUGAAUUAUAGAAUUGUGACUUUUAUGUAAUAAAGACAUGGUUUGAAUUAUGUACUUGUGACUUUCUUGUAAUAAAGACAAAUUGUUUGAAUUAUGUAAUUGUGACUUUUUUGUAAUAAAGACGAAUAAAGAUAAAUAAUCUUAUAGUAUAUAAUUCUUUGUACAUGAUAGGAAUUUUUUAAUUUUUUUUUAGAGUUAUAGAUGUGAUUGGCGAAGGAGAGACCUAAAUUGCAUGGUUGCCUUUGCAUGUUAUAGUUGUGAAUGACCAAACGGAGCCCAAAUGUUUUUAAACUUUCAUUGUUGGAAAGAUACAUGUUUUACUCAAAUUUUUGUUUUGGAUUCACUUUAAAAUGCCUUAUGAAUUGAAAGUUAUUCUUGUGCUAAGUAGGAUAUGUCAUUGCCUCAAUUGCACAACAGAUUUCUGUUGGAAUAUUUCCAUUCUGAUGAGCUUUUGAAUGCUCAAAAGAGGUCCAAACGCUUCUCAACCACCUCCAUUUGAUAGAUAUGUGCGUCUAGUAUAAAAUUGGUUUUAGAACCGUCCCCGAAUUCCCAAUGGAUUAAAAGUGAUGACCAUGUUUAUGAUCGCACUUAGUUUAUGAUCUGACGUUACUGUUUGAAAUUGUAGGAAAUGUGAAUUGUGAUAUUGAAAUGUGGUAUUGUGAUACUGAAAAUGCGAUAUUGUGAAAUUGAUACUGUCAUACUGUGAUACUGAUAUUGUGAUAUUGCUAAUGUCUUAUUGUGAUACUGAUAUUGUCAUACUGUCAUACUGUUAUUGUCAUAUUGUGAUAUUGUUACUGUCAUAUUGUGAUAUUGUUACUGUUACUGUCAUAUUGUGAUACUGUUACUGUCAAUUGUGAUACUGCUAUUGCCAUACUGCUACUAUCAUAUUGAGAUACUGAUAUUGUCAUAAUGUGACACUGAUACUGUGAUAUUGUAAUGCUGAUAUUGUGAUACUGGAAAUGUGAUAAAGUGAUAUUGGGAUACUAAUGUGAUACUGACCACUACGCAAUGCGGCACUCCUUGGUAGUGGGUACGGUUAUACUGUUUUACACUGUUAUACUGAUAUUGUGAUAUUGGAAUUGCGAUAAUGUGAUACUGGGAUACUGAUGUGAUACUGACCACUACGCAAUGAGGCACCAAUUGGUAAUGGGUAUUGUUAUAUUGUUUUACACUAUGUUACUGAUACUGUAAGCCAUACUGAUGCUGACGACUACACAAUGGGCCACCCAUUGGUAGUGGGUACUGUGAAAUUGCUUUAUAUUGUGUUACUGUGAUACUAACCACUACGUAAUGGGACAACCAUUGGUAGUAAGUAAUGUGAUAUUCUUUAUAUUGGGAGAUGCUGUGCCUUUGACCACCAUACAAUGGGUCACAUGUUGGUGGUUGGAUACUGCUCUAUCGGCUAUUGAUUUGACUGUACCUCGACCCUAAUGAUAGGAAUGAGGUCGGGAAGUGAAACUAGAUAAUAGGGUAGGUCACUCCCUUUCCCAAUUAUUAUGGGCACUACGCAUUGGGAUACCCAAUGGUAGUGUAAUGCCUUCUCACUAGAAGGGCAUAAGGAGUAGGUCGUGUCUUGCAAGGUUACUGCUAAAGAAUACCCCAAAGCGUGUAGGGGAUGUGUGUGAGGGCAUUACGAAGUGAGACAUUCACUUGUCAUUGUCUUUCCUCUCGAAUGAGGGUAGAUGUUUCAAGCUACAAGAUUGGCUUGACCUAAUCGGUGGAACUUCUAUUUCAAGAGUAGGUUUCAUUAUCUUUUAUUAUGUAAAACUGUGAUAUGUCAGCUUUACUGUUCUGUUUAAGAUGAAAUGAUGUAUAACUUAUGCACUGUAUGUUCUUGAUAAUUGAACUGCAUUUAUUUUUAUAUUAUUAAAGUAUUGAAGGCAUAAUAGAGGAAGCUUUUUUUGAUAUCUUUGUAAAUUAGUGAGCACUGUUAUCUGCUAUCACCGGUUAUAAAGUUGGAAUGCAUUGGUGUAGAUUUGUUUACUGGGUUGUUAGCUCAUUCCAUUUCCUUCUCAUGAUUGUAGAGUGAUACCUGAAAAUCGAGCAGCUGAUCUGUGUGUUGGGCGGGUGAAGCUUGAAGUUCGGUGGAGUUGCUCUAAGAAGCUUUUCAUAAUAUGUAUUUGGUGGCUACGCCACUAUGAUGUUUCUGUAUUUUUGUGGGCUAGUAGUGCUUUGAAUCGAUUGUAAAGAAUUUUGGUGAAUGGAUGUAUAAAUGGAUAUGACUUUGUUUUGAAUUAAGAACAUUCUUGAUGAAUGGAUUUUAGUUUUAUUUUGUGGUUUGCUCUUGAUUUCGUCUCUAUAUGCAUUGAGCCACUCCCACCUGAGUAGUGUACGCCACAUCAUGUCGUGAUCCCACAUUCUGUCGCCUUUCGACAUGUAGGGGUGGGGUCGUGACAGUUUAUGGUAUCAGAGCAGUCAAGAUAGGAUUCUUGGCCUAUGAAGGUUUAGAAUUGUCUAUAGGAUAGGUCUUGGAUAGGCUAGUAACUGGGUGCUUAUGGUUUAGGUUGAAGAUGCUGAGGACUCGUGCCAACAAUGCAAGUUCAAACAACGAGAACACCGAGGCCUUCGGUGAAUUCUUUAGAACUCUAGGGGCCAUGACACAAAUGAUGAGGGAAUCAAUAUUGGCCCCGUCUACCCCAUCCACUGACCAGAGCGAUAGUAGUUUGAUAAAGAGGUUUUAGAGGCAGGCACCUCCGACUUUUGUAGGGCAACUUUUGUAGGGCAAGGGGAGUAGAAAAAGCAGAGAGAUGGAGAAGACAUGUGGAGAAGAUCUGAGAAGACAUGUGGAGAAGAUCUUUGAAGUGUUAAACUGUACAGAUGAAGAAAAAGUUACACUGGGCACAUUCAUGCUUGAAGGAGAAGCUGAGCACUAGUGGAGCUCAGUAAAGCAGUCAUGGGAGAGAUUAGAAACUAUAGCCACUUGGGAGAAUUUUUUGGAGGCUUUUUACGAAAAGUAUUUUCUUGACUCUGUAAGGGAAAGAAAAGAAGUGGAAUUCACAGGGCUGUAGCAAGGAAAGAUGACUGUGGAGCAGUAUGCAGCAAAAUUUGUUGAGCUCUCAAGAUACGUGCCGCAUAUUGUUGAUACUGAGGCGUGAAAAACAAGUAAAUUUGAGAGCGGCCUAUUUGUUGAGCUCUCAAGAUACGCACCAUAUAUUGUUGAUACCGAGGUGCGAAAAACAAGUAAAUUUGAGAGGGGCCUUUGACUCGAUAUAUGAGGGAGGGUAAUUUCGAUAAAUCUCAAGACCUUCUCCCCACUGGUGGAUCUUGCCUUGAAAAUAGAAAGAGGUUGCGAAGAUUUUCUUUUGAGGAAGGAAGGGAGAUUGGGGGUCGCAUAGCCUGAGGAUUUUAAGAGGAAAACCCGACCACCCCCAAGGGGAAAAUUUAAAAACAGGAAUAAUCAGGACGAUAUCAAGAUUCAGAGGACUUUUCAAGGUGAUAUAAGGGGUAAUGGGCACUUAGUCUACCCUCAUUGUGGCCUGAGUAACCACACAUUAGCCGAGUGCUUCAAGAAGACCAGGGCUUGUUUUCGAUGCGGCAUGCCGGGCAAUUUAGUGAAGGAUUGCUCGGUGAAGGGACCAGAGGACCGGCCAAGGACUCAAGGUUGAGUUUUCGCCCUAACAGAGCAAGAGGCUAAGGCGUCGACCUUUGUUAUUCGAGGUACGCUUUCUGUUUACGAAAUUGAAGCAAGAAUUUUAAUUGGCCCUGAUUCUUCCCAUUUUUUUAUUGCACUACACUUUGCAUGCCGCUUGAAUGUUAAACCUGCACAACUUGAUUGGACUUUGGUAGUAUGCACACCUAUGAGAGAAUCUAUAAAAACUGACAUAGUGUAUAAAUAUUGUGGGGUUGUGCGUGAGAGGCAUAUGUUACCUAUAAACUUAAUACUCCUAGACAUUCUAGAUUUUGAUAUCAUUUUGGGUAUGGAUUGGUUAUCUACACACCACACUACAGUAAACUUCCAUGAUAAGACUGUAACUUUUAAACGCCCGAACCAACCUGAAUUGAGUUUAAUGGGUAUCAAGGAUGUUUCCCUUUUACACAUCAUCUCAACGCUUCAGACUUCUCACCUGUUGGCCAAAAGAUGUGUGGGAUAUUUGGCUUAUGUAGUAGAAAAUCGGAAUGUCCAGUCCAAGUUAGAAGAGAUACGGGUGGUGAGAGAAUAUCCAGAUGUCUUCCCUGAAGAGUUAACCUCUUUGACCCUAGUAAGGGAGAUAGAGUUUGAAAUAGAGGUAGCCCCUGGUACUGCUCCCAUUUCUAAAGCCCCUUACAGGAUGGCCCUAGCCGAGUUCAAAGAACUAAAAGAGCAAUUGCAGGAACUAUUAGAUAAGGGGUUCAUCCGACCUAAUGUAUCACCAUGGGGCGCACCAGUGCUGUUUGUAAAGAAGAAGGAUGGGUCUUUGAGGCUAUGUAUUGUUUAUAGACAGCUGAAUCAAGUGACGGUAAAGAAUAAGUACCGCUUGCCUAGAAUUGAUGACUUGUUUGAUCAACUUCAAGGAGCUCAAGUAUUUUCUAAGAUUGACCUCCAGUCGGGCUACCAUCAAUUGUGGGUUAAGGAAGAGUAUGUUUCCAAAACCGCAUUCAAGACCCGGUAUGGUCAUUACGAAUUUCUAAUAAUGCCGUUUGGGUUAAGCAAUGCACCAGCUAUCUUUAUGGAUUUGAUGAAUCGAGUUUUUAGACCUUUCCUUGAUGACUUUGUGGUAGUUUUUAUCGAUGACAUUCUAGUGUAUUCGAAGAAUAUGACUGAGCAUGAACAACAUCUAAGAAUGGUCAUCCAGACCUUAAAGUUUGAGAAGUUAUAUGCCAAGUUAAGUAAGAGUGAAUUUUGGCUCCCGAGAGUAGCCUUCCUCGGGCACAUUGUUUCCAAGGACGGGGUUGCAGUUGACCUUUGUAAAAUCGAGGUUUUACUUAAAUGGGGAAGACCAACAAAUGUGUCAAAAGUCUGCAACUUUCUGGGGCUAAUGGGUUAUUACAGACGAAUUGUGGAAGGUUUCUCAAAAAUAGCACUUCCCUUGACCCGCCUAACCCAGAAGGAAGUAAAGUUUGUGUAGUUUGUUGCAUGAGCUAAGUUUUCAAGAGCCGAAGAAGAGACUCAGCACGGCCCUGAAACUGACCUUGCCUGAAGGAAAUGAAGAUUUUUUGUAUAUAUUGAUGCCUCACGCAGAGGUCUUGGAUGUGUGUUGAUACAGCGAGGCAAGGUCAUAGCCUAUGCCUCCAGACAAUUAAAGAAAUAUGAGCAAAAUUGUCCCAUUUAAGAUUUGGAGCUUAUGACAGUAGUUUUCGCCUUGAAAAUUUGGAGGCAUUAUCUGUAUGGGAUCCAGUUUAAAGUGUUCACUGACCAUAAGAGCCUUAAGUAUUUGUUUUCUUAAAAAGAGUUGUACAUGAGGCAAAGAAGAUGGAUGGACUUGUUAAAUGACUUAUUGUACCAUCAACUACCACCUGGGAAAGACAAACGUCGUAGCAGACGUCUUGAGUAUGAAGCCUGUGGUAUUAGUGGCUCACAUGAUGAUCCGAGAGAUGAAAUUAUUGAAAAAUGCAGUAGAAUGGCACCCGACUCUACCCCUUAGUGAUGACGUAGGAAUGAUUUCAUGUAUAAGGAUAGAGCCUCAGCUCUUUCAGUAAAUCCGAGUGGAACAAAAAGGAGAUCCUCAACUCAAAGAUUCUCGAGGACAUGAAAUUGAAAAGAAAAAAGGAUUUCACCCUGGGCAGUGACUGAAUGUUAAGAUUUUGUAUGUGUUCCUAAUGACGGGAAUGUAAAAAGGGCUAUCUUGGAAGAAGCACACCACUCCCGUUAUACAAUGCAUUCAGGUAGUACGAAAAUGCAUCAAAAUAUGAAGAAGAUCUUAUGACGGAAUAAUAUGAAGAGAGAAGUGGCACAAUUUGUUUUUAAGUGUUUGACAUGUCAGCAAGUGAAGGCCGAACAUCAGAAACCUGCAGGGAAGUUACAACCCUUACCCGUGCCAGAGUGGGCAGAUAACUAUGGACUUUCUAUUUGGCCUGCCUAGAUCAGGUUCAAGACAUAUUAGCAUUUGGGUUGUUGUGGACCGACUAACUAAGGCCACUCAUUUCUUGUCGGUCGUACAACCUAUACUCUGGAUAAGCUGACUCAACUCUACAUUAAAGAGAUAGUAAGACUGCAUGGGGUACCUGUUAGUAUUGUGUCCGACAUGGACUCUAGAUUUACUUCAAGGUUUUAAAACAGUCUGCAGUUGGCCUUGGGGACCAAACUCACUGUCAGUAUUGCUUUCCACCCUCAAACUGAUGGACAGUCGGAAAGAACUAUCCAGACGCUGAAAGAUAUGUUGAGGGCAUGUGUUAUAGAUUUCAAGGGAAACUAAGAUGAUCAUCUGCCUUUGAUAGAGUUUGCUUAUAACAACAGUUUCCAAACCAGUAUUUAAAUGACACAUUUUGAGGCACUGUAUAGGAGGAGGUGCAGAUCACCCAUAUGUUAGGAUGAAGUCGGUGAACGGAGACUGUUAGGGCUACAGAUUGUUCAAAUAACAUAAGAAAAGAUUGCUUUAAUUUGAGAAAGGCUCAAAACAGCUCAGAGUCAGCAGAAGAGUUAUGACGACAAUUGGAGAAGAGAUCUCAAAUUUGAGGUAGGUGAUCGGGUCUUUUUGAAAGUAUCGCCAACUAAGGGCAUUAUGAGGUUUAGCAAGAGAGGGAAAUUGAGUCCAUAAUUUAUUGGACCCUUUGAAAUUUUAGAAAGGAUUGGAGUCGUGGCAUAUCAACUGGCCCUACCGUCUGAGUUGAUCAAUAUUCAUGAUGUUUUUCAUGUAUCCCUGUUAAGGAAAUAUCACCCUUACUCGUCCUAUAUUUUAAAGUAUCAACCAAUCCCAAUCAGGGAAGCUUUGACUUAUGUUGAACAACCAAUUAAGAUUUUGGAUAGGAGGGUUUAUGUUUUACAUAAUAAAGAGAUUUCCUUGGUCUGAGUUCUAUGGCAGUAUCAUUCGCGAGAAGAAUCAACAUGGGAACGAGAAGAUGAAAUCCGGGAUAAGUACCCUUGUUUGUUUAAUUAACUAAGUCACAAUUUUAAAGACAAAAUAUUUUUAAGGGCGUUGAUGUAAGCACCAAGAUUUCCCAGCUAUGGAAACACAAGCAGGGGUGAAAGGGGGAGCUCAACGCCGUACAUUUCAGAGUGUUAUCAUCGCACGUGAAGAGAGAGGAAAAGAUCAGCACCGCGAGUGUAACUCCGCGCAUGAAGAAAGACAGAGAGAAGUCAGCGCCAUACGUGUUAUCGUCGUGCGUGAAGCGAGAAGUCAGUGUCGUGUGUGUUAUCGCCAUGCGUGAAGAGAGAGAAGUCAGUGCAGUGUGUGUUAUCGCCGCAUGUGGAGAGAUAUAAGUCAGCGCCAUGUGUGAAGAGAGAGCACCAUGCAUGUUAUCACCGCGUGUGGAGAGAGAGAGAAGUCAGCGUCGUGUGUGUUAUCGCAGCACGUGGAGAGAGAAGUCAGUGUCGUGCGUGUUAUCGACACGUGUGAAGAGAGAGGGGUAGCGCCGACAGUGAAGAGAGAGGAGCACGUGCGGCUAUGAGAUGGUGUUACCACCGCAAGUGCUAGAAAUAGAGUGAGAACGGACCGCUGGGACUGUUGGAGUAGGAUGGUCCAUAGGGGACUUCCUUUGUCUUUCCCCUUUAAACACAUGGUGGUAUUCCUUGUGCCACUUGGAGGUGGCUUGUUGCCACCUCACCUCCCCCUUCCUCCUUACCCACUAUAUCAACCCAGCUCUCUCUCUCUAUCUUUUCUUCUCUCUCUCUCUCUCUCUCUCUCUCUCUCGCUCUCACAGAGCCUCUGAAGCCUUUGCUAGGAAAUAGAAAAAGAGGACUGUAAGAAAGAGUUAUGUUCGAAAAAAGCACUGUUGAACCAGGUAAGUGGAUCCACCACCAUUGCACUACUGCCAUGAGAAUAUAUGAUAUUGAUUGUCUACAAGAUGAGUCAUAAAAUGUGAAUGUAUUGAACUGAUUCCUAUGCCUCGUUUUACUGAAAUUGGUGCUUUUGCUCUAUGAUAAAUUUUGGUGCUGAAAAAUGAUUGUAUGGCUUACAAAUAAUGUAGAAAAUGUAUGUUUAUGUGUAUAUAUUGUGAAAGAACAAUUAUUAUGACGUUAUUCACUAAGAAUUGAAGGUUGUGGAACAUGUCCUUGAGGCAUGUAAAGUAUUACUGUGAAAUUUCAAGAACGUACAUAUUUUUUAAAGAGGCUUUUGAACAUUAAAAUGAGGUCCAAUUGACCUCAAAUCACUGCCAUUAGAAAGAUGCAUGAGUUUCCUACAAUCUUCAUGUUUAAACUGUGUUAAGAUUCCUAAUGAAUGAAACAUCGUGUUCUAAUAUGUGUAGACAUAUCACUGUUAACAGACUGCACUGAGUUUCAUCACUGUCAUUACUGUUGCCAUGGGUUUUUAUUAACCAAAUGAAAUUCAAGUUUUCUCAAACCACCGCCAUUUGAAAGAUCUCUGAGUGAGCAUAAAGUUACAUAUCGAAAUCAUUUCGAAAUUCUUUUUAGAUUGAAAGUAAUGAAAUUAUUUGUGAAGGCAUAUCACUGUGGACAGAUUUUACUAAAAUUCAAAACCAUCACUUUGGUUGUCGCAGACUUUUGAAUGACCAAAUGGAGCCCAAAUGCUUUCAAAAUACCAUUGUUGGGAAGAUAUGUGUUUUUACUCGAAUUUUGCUUUUGGAAUCACUUUAAAAUAUCUUAUGAAUUGAAAGUUAUGACUGUGCUAAGAAGAACAUGUCACUGCCUCAACUACACAACAGAUUUUUGAUGGAAUGUCUCCAUUCUAAUAAGCUUUUGAACGGUUAAAAGAUGUCCAAACACUUCUCAACCACCUCCAUUUGAUAGAUAUGUGUGUCUAGUGUAAAAUUGGUCUUGGAAUCGUCCCCAAAUUCCCAAUGGAUUGAAAGUGACGACUCUUUUAUGAUUGGACGUCACUGUCUGAAAUUACAAGAAAUAUGAAUUGUGAUACUUAAAUGUGGUACUGUGAUACUGAAAAUGCGAUACUGUGAUAAUGCUAUUGUUCUACUAUGAUACUAAUAUUGUCAUACUGCUACUAUCAUACUGUGAUACUGCUACUGUCCUAUUGUGAUACUGCUACCGUCAUACUGUGAUACUGCUACCGUCAUAUUGAGAUACUGAUAUCGUCAUAAUGUGACACUGAUACUGUGAUAAUGUAAUAUUGAUACUAUGUUAUUGAAAGUGUGAUAAAGUAACACUGGGAUAUAUGUGAUAAUGACCACUACGAAAUGGGGCACCCAUUGGUAGUGGGUAUUGUUAUACUGCUUUACACUGUGAUACUGAUACUGUAAGCCAUACUGAAGCUGACUACUAUGCAAUGGGCCACCCAUUGGUAGUGGGUACUGUGAUACUGCUUUAUACUGUGUUAUAUUUUGGCGCUGACCACUACACAAUGGGACACCCAUUGGUAGUAGAUAAUGUGAUAUUGUUUAUACUGUGAGAUAUUAUGCCUUUCACCACCACGCAAUGGGUCACCCAUUAGUGGUUGGAUAUUGCUCUGCAGGCUACUGAUUUGACUGUACCUUGACCCCAAUAAUGGGAAUCGGGUGGGGAAGUGAAAUUAGAUAAUAGGGUGGGUCGCUUCCCCCCCAAUUGUUAUGGGCACUACGCAUUGGGACACCAAAUGGUAGUUUAACGCCCUCUCGCUAGAAGGGCAUAAAGAGAGGGUCGUGUCUUGCAAGGCCAAUGCUUAUCGAAUACCCUUAAAGCGUGUUAAGGACAUAUGUGUGCAUGAGGGCAUUACGAAGUGGGACACCCACUUGUCAUUGUCCUCCCUCCUGAACGAGGGUAGAGGUUCCAAGCUACAUGAUUGGCUUGACCUGAUCGGUGGAACUUCUAUUUCAGGAGUAGGCUUUUCUAGCUUUUACUGUGUGAAAUUAUGAUCUGUCAGCUUUCGUGUUCUGUUUAAGAUGAAAUAAUGUGUGAUUUAUGCAUUGUAAGUUUUUGAUAAUUGAAUUGCUUUUAUUCUUAUACUAUUAAAGUACUGACGUGCAUAAUAGAUGAAGCUUUCUUGAUAUCUCUGUAAGUUAGUGAGCAUUGUUAUCUGCUAUCACCGUUUAUAAAGUUGGAAUGCAAUGGUGUAGAUCUGUAUACUGGCCAGUUAGCUCAUUCUGUUUCAUUCCCAUGAUUGUAGAGUAAUAGCCUUUAACCUGAAGACCGAGCAGCUGAUCUGUGUGUUGGGCGGGUGAAGCAUGAAGUCCAGUGGAGUUGCUCUUAGAAGCUUUUCAUAGUAUGUAUUUGGUGGCUAUGCCACUAUGAUGUUUCAUGUAACUCUGUACUUUUGUGAGCCAGUAGUGCCUUGAAUCGAUUGUAAAAAUUUUGGUGAAUGAAUGUGUAAAUG